rnacentral:tRNA from 1 species
GCGGAUUUAGCCAAGUAGAUCAAGGCAGUGGACUGUGAAUUCACCGCGUGCAGAUUCAAUCCCAGUCGUUCGCC